rnacentral:rRNA from 1 species
UAACACAUGCAAGUCGAGCGGGGGAAGGUAGCUUGCUACCGGACCUAGCGGCGGACGGGUGAGUAAUGCUUAGGAAUCUGCCUAUUAGUGGGGGACAACAUCUCGAAAGGGAUGCUAAUACCGCAUACGUCCUACGGGAGAAAGCAGGGGAUCUUCGGACCUUGCGCUAAUAGAUGAGCCUAAGUCGGAUUAGCUAGUUGGUGGGGUAAAGGCCUACCAAGGCGACGAUCUGUAGCGGGUCUGAG